rnacentral:tRNA from 1 species
ACUCUAAUAGUUUAUAAAAAACAUUGGUCUUGUAAACCAAAGACUGAA